GGGUUGUGAGGUUAAGCGACUAAGCGUACACGGUGGAUGCCCUGGCAGUCAGAGGCGAUGAAGGACGUGCUAAUCUGCGAUAAGCGCCGGUAAGGUGAUAUGAACCGUUAUAACCGGCGAUUUCCGAAUGGGGAAACCCAGUGUGAUUCGUCACACUAUCAUUAACUGAAUCCAUAGGUUAAUGAGGCGAACCGGGGGAACUGAAACAUCUAAGUACCCCGAGGAAAAGAAAUCAACCGAGAUUCCCCCAGUAGCGGCGAGCGAACGGGGAGGAGCCCAGAGCCUGAAUCAGCAUGUGUGUUAGUGGAAGCGUCUGGAAAGGCGCGCGAUACAGGGUGACAGCCCCGUACACAAAAGCGCAUGUGCUGUGAGCUCGAUGAGUAGGGCGGGACACGUGGUAUCCUGUCUGAAUAUGGGGGGACCAUCCUCCAAGGCUAAAUACUCCUGACUGACCGAUAGUGAACCAGUACCGUGAGGGAAAGGCGAAAAGAACCCCGGCGAGGGGAGUGAAAAAGAACCUGAAACCGUGUACGUACAAGCAGUGGGAGCACAGGUUUACCUGUGUGACUGCGUACCUUUUGUAUAAUGGGUCAGCGACUUAUAUUCUGUAGCAAGGUUAACCGUAUAGGGGAGCCGGAGGGAAACCGAGUCUUAAUUGGGCGUUAAGUUGCAGGGUAUAGACCCGAAACCCGGUGAUCUAGCCAUGGGCAGGUUGAAGGUUGGGUAACACUAACUGGAGGACCGAACCGACUAAUGUUGAAAAAUUAGCGGAUGACCUGUGGCUGGGGGUGAAAGGCCAAUCAAACCGGGAGAUAGCUGGUUCUCCCCGAAAGCUAUUUAGGUAGCGCCUCGUGAAUUCAUCUCCGGGGGUAGAGCACUGUUUCGGCUAGGGGGCCAUCCCGGCUUACCAACCCGAUGCAAACUGCGAAUACCGGAGAAUGUUAUCACGGGAGACACACGGCGGGUGCUAACGUCCGUCGUGAAGAGGGAAACAACCCAGACCGCCAGCUAAGGUCCCAAAGUCAUGGUUAAGUGGGAAACGAUGUGGGAAGGCCCAGACAGCCAGGAUGUUGGCUUAGAAGCAGCCAUCAUUUAAAGAAAGCGUAAUAGCUCACUGGUCGAGUCGGCCUGCGCGGAAGAUGUAACGGGGCUAAACCAUGCACCGAAGCUGCGGCAGCGAACGUAUCACCCAAGACAACUUUACGGAGUUGACGAUUGACGGAGCGAAGCGACGUCAAAGCGUUCAUUAAAGUCGAGUUGGCUUAGGGAUACGUUCGUUGGGUAGGGGAGCGUUCUGUAAGCCUGUGAAGGUGUGUCGUGAGGCAUGCUGGAGGUAUCAGAAGUGCGAAUGCUGACAUAAGUAACGAUAAAGCGGGUGAAAAGCCCGCUCGCCGGAAGACCAAGGGUUCCUGUCCAACGUUAAU
rnacentral:rRNA from 1 species